CUGAUUGUCACCCCCUCCCUCCCUUCUCUAUGUUCCGGUGCCCUUUGGAGGCCGAACGGAGGCCAUGGACUGGCUCUCUCUCCCUCUUCUUAUUGCGGCCGGAUGGAGGCCGUGCCCUUCUCUCUAUCCUCUUUCAUCCUCCUCCCUCUCUCUGUUCUCUCUAUCCUCCCUUCCCCAUUUCGCUAUUUGGGACGUUCCCCCUGUGAUGAGCCCCUCCUUCGCCGGUUGCUGGCCUCUCCCUCCGCUGGCUGCAUCUCCCCGGUCGGGUACUAUGCUCCUCUACAGCCGGCCAACAGUCACCCGUCUGUGCUCCUCCCAGCGCUGCUAUCGGGUCUUCGCUGGCGGGCGAUGGUUUUAUCCGUUUGACAAGUG
rnacentral:lncRNA from 1 species